GGCGCACGUGGUAGGGGAGCGUUCUGUAGGCUGAUGAAGGUGCAUUGAGAAGUGUGCUGGAGGUAUCAGAAGUGCGAAUGCUGACAUGAGUAACGAUAAUGUGGGUGAAAAGCCCACACGCCGGAAGUCCCAGGUUUCCUGCACGACGUUAAUCGGAGCAGGGUGAGUCGGCCCCUAAGGCGAGGCUGAAGAGCGUAGUCGAUGGGAACCAGGUUAAUAUUCCUGGACUUUUUAUAAGUGGUGAAGUGGGGACGAAGAAGGCUAGGUGAGCCAGGCGUUGGUUGUCCUGGUACUUGCAUGUAGGGGGGAAGACUUGGCAAAUCCGGUUUUCCAUAACUCUGAGGUGCGAAGUGGUUCUGACCUUUUGGUACAGAGAAGUCAUUGAUGCCCGGCUUCCAGGAAAAGCUGCUAGCCAUAACUUAUAGAGAACCGUACCGCAAACCGACACAGGUGGACAGGUAGAGAAUACUAAGGCGCUUGAGAGAACUCGGGUGAAGGAACUAGGCAAAAUGGUACCGUAACUUCGGGAGAAGGUACGCCCUUUUGGGUGAGGGCAUUUACUGUCUGAGCUUAAGAGGGCCGCAGAGACCAGGUGGCUGCGACUGUUUAUUAAAAACACAGCACUCUGCAAAUUCGUAAGAAGACGUAUAGGGUGUGACGCCUGCCCGGUGCCGGAAGGUUAAUUGAUGGGGUUAUCUUCGGAGAAGCUCUUGAUCGAAGCCCCGGUAAACGGCGGCCGUAACUAUAACGGUCCUAAGGUAGCGAAAUUCCUUGUCGGGUAAGUUCCGACCUGCACGAAUGGCGUAACGAUGGCCACACUGUCUCCACCCGAGACUCAGUGAAAUUGAAAUCGCUGUGAAGAUGCAGUGUACCCGCGGCUAGACGGAAAGACCCCGUGAACCUUUACUAUAGUUUUGCACUGGACUUUGAUGAUGACUGUGUAGGAUAGGUGGGAGGCUGUGAAGUGAGGACGCUAGUUCUCAUGGAGCCGCCCUUGAAAUACCACCCUGUUGUUAUUGAGGUUCUAACUUGGUCCAGUAAUCCUGGAUGAGGACAGUGUAUGAUGGGUAGUUUGACUGGGGCGGUCUCCUCCCAAAGAGUAACGGAGGAGCACAAAGGUACCCUCGGUACGGUCGGACAUCGUACCAAGAGUGUAAAGGCAAAAGGGUGCUUGACUGCGAGAGUGACGGCUCGAGCAGGAACGAAAGUUGGUCUUAGUGAUCCGGUGGUUCUGAAUGGAAGGGCCAUCGCUCAACGGAUAAAAGGUACUCCGGGGAUAACAGGCUGAUACCGCCCAAGAGUUCAUAUCGACGGCGGUGUUUGGCACCUCGAUGUCGGCUCAUCACAUCCUGGGGCUGAAGCAGGUCCCAAGGGUAUGGCUGUUCGCCAUUUAAAGUGGUACGCGAGCUGGGUUUAGAACGUCGUGAGACAGUUCGGUCCCUAUCUGCCGUGGGCGUAGGAAAAUUGAGAGGAGCUGCUCCUAGUACGAGAGGACCGGAGUGGACGAACCUCUGGUGCACCGGUUGUCACGCCAGUGGCAUGGCCGGGUAGCUAAGUUCGGACGGGAUAACCGCUGAAAGCAUCUAAGCGGGAAGCCUCCCUCAAGAUGAGUUUUCCCAUGAAGCCCGUUGAAGACUACGACGUUGAUAGGCAAGGUGUGGAAGCGCAGUAAUGCGUGAAGCUAACUUGUACUAAUUGGCUGAUUG
rnacentral:rRNA from 1 species